CUAGCUCCUCAACCGUGACUGGAAGCAGAGUUCAGCACCACGAGCAACAUCAUGAGAAGUAAUCUCAGAUGCUGAAGAUCUUAUGUGAAGUCCUGGAUGGGCUACUUGGAAGCUGAGACCUUCAGGAAAAAAUCACUCAACUCUUCAAGUUGGAGUUUCCUGCUCUAUGCAAUGGAAAAAAAAAAGAGAGAGAGAGAGAGAGAGAGAAAAAAAAAAAGAACCCUUUCUCAAAAGAAAUGCAGAUUGAUGCAACAACACAGAUCAACUGAAUCACGAAAUAGUGUUGACGACUGACAGCAGCUUCC
rnacentral:lncRNA from 1 species